UACAUAGCAUAUCAGAAGGCACACCCGGAGAACUGAAACAUCUUAGUACCCGGAGGAAGAGAAAGAAAAUUCGAUUCCCUUAGUAGCGGCGAGCGAAACGGGAAGAGCCCAAACCAACAAGCUUGCUUGUUGGGGUUGUAGGACACUCUAUACGGAGUUACAAAGGACGACAUUAGACGAAUCAUCUGGAAAGAUGAAUCAAAGAAGGUAAUAAUCCUGUAGUCGAAAAUGUUGUCUCUCUUGAGUGGAUCCUGAGUACGACGGAGCACGUGAAAUUCCGUCGGAAUCUGGGAGGACCAUCUCCUAAGGCUAAAUACUCUCUAGUGACCGAUAGUGAACCAGUACCGUGAGGGAAAGGUGAAAAGCACCCCGGAAGGGGAGUGAAACAGAACCUGAAACCGUGUGCUUACAAGUAGUCAGAGCCCGUUAAUGGGUGAUGGCGUGCCUUUUGUAGAAUGAACCGGCGAGUUACGAUUUGAUGCAAGGUUAAGCAGUAAAUGUGGAGCCGUAGCGAAAGCGAGUCUGAAUAGGGCGUUUAGUAUUUGGUCGUAGACCCGAAACCAGGUGAUCUACCCUUGGUCAGGUUGAAGUUCAGGUAACACUGAAUGGAGGACCGAACCGACUUACGUUGAAAAGUGAGCGGAUGAACUGAGGGUAGCGGAGAAAUUCCAAUCGAACCUGGAGAUAGCUGGUUCUCUCCGAAAUAGCUUUAGGGCUAGCCUCAAGUGAUGAUUAUUGGAGGUAGAGCACUGUUUGGACGAGGGGCCCCUCUCGGGUUACCGAAUUCAGACAAACUCCGAAUGCCAAUUAAUUUAACUUGGGAGUCAGAACAUGGGUGAUAAGGUCCGUGUUCGAAAGGGAAACAGCCCAGACCACCAGCUAAGGUCCCAAAAUAUAUGUUAAGUGGAAAAGGAUGUGGCGUUGCCCAGACAACUAGGAUGUUGGCUUAGAAGCAGCCAUCAUUUAAAGAGUGCGUAAUAGCUCACUAGUCGAGUGACACUGCGCCGAAAAUGUACCGGGGCUAAACAUAUUACCGAAGCUGUGGAUUGUCCUUUGGACAAUGGUAGGAGAGCGUUCUAAGGGCGUUGAAGCAUGAUCGUAAGGACAUGUGGAGCGCUUAGAAGUGAGAAUGCCGGUGUGAGUAGCGAAAGACGGGUGAGAAUCCCGUCCACCGAUUGACUAAGGUUUCCAGAGGAAGGCUCGUCCGCUCUGGGUUAGUCGGGUCCUAAGCUGAGGCCGACAGGCGUAGGCGAUGGAUAACAGGUUGAUAUUCCUGUACCACCUAUAAUCGUUUUAAUCGAUGGGGGGACGCAGUAGGAUAGGCGAAGCGUGCGAUUGGAUUGCACGUCUAAGCAGUAAGGCUGAGUAUUAGGCAAAUCCGGUACUCGUUAAGGCUGAGCUGUGAUGGGGAGAAGACAUUGUGUCUUCGAGUCGUUGAUUUCACACUGCCGAGAAAAGCCUCUAGAUAGAAAAUAGGUGCCCGUACCGCAAACCGACACAGGUAGUCAAGAUGAGAAUUCUAAGGUGAGCGAGCGAACUCUCGUUAAGGAACUCGGCAAAAUGACCCCGUAACUUCGGGAGAAGGGGUGCUCUUUAGGGUUAACGCCCAGAAGAGCCGCAGUGAAUAGGCCCAAGCGACUGUUUAUCAAAAACACAGGUCUCUGCUAAACCGUAAGGUGAUGUAUAGGGGCUGACGCCUGCCCGGUGCUGGAAGGUUAAGAGGAGUGGUUAGCUUCUGCGAAGCUACGAAUCGAAGCCCCAGUAAACGGCGGCCGUAACUAUAACGGUCCUAAGGUAGCGAAAUUCCUUGUCGGGUAAGUUCCGACCCGCACGAAAGGCGUAACGAUUUGGGCACUGUCUCAACGAGAGACUCGGUGAAAUCAUAGUACCUGUGAAGAUGCAGGUUACCCGCGACAGGACGGAAAGACCCCGUGGAGCUUUACUGUAGCCUGAUAUUGAAAUUCGGCACAGCUUGUACAGGAUAGGUAGGAGCCUUUGAAACGUGAGCGCUAGCUUACGUGGAGGCGCUGGUGGGAUACUACCCUAGCUGUGUUGGCUUUCUAACCCGCACCACUUAUCGUGGUGGGAGACAGUGUCAGGCGGGCAGUUUGACUGGGGCGGUCGCCUCCUAAAAGGUAACGGAGGCGCUCAAAGGUUCCCUCAGAAUGGUUGGAAAUCAUUCAUAGAGUGUAAAGGCAUAAGGGAGCUUGACUGCGAGACCUACAAGUCGAGCAGGGUCGAAAGACGGACUUAGUGAUCCGGUGGUUCCGCAUGGAAGGGCCAUCGCUCAACGGAUAAAAGCUACCCCGGGGAUAACAGGCUUAUCUCCCCCAAGAGUUCACAUCGACGGGGAGGUUUGGCACCUCGAUGUCGGCUCAUCGCAUCCUGGGGCUGUAGUCGGUCCCAAGGGUUGGGCUGUUCGCCCAUUAAAGCGGUACGCGAGCUGGGUUCAGAACGUCGUGAGACAGUUCGGUCCCUAUCCGUCGUGGGCGUAGGAAAUUUGAGAGGAGCUGUCCUUAGUACGAGAGGACCGGGAUGGACAUACCUCUGGUGUACCAGUUGUCGUGCCAACGGCAUAGCUGGGUAGCUAUGUGUGGACGGGAUAAGUGCUGAAAGCAUCUAAGCAUGAAGCCCCCCUCAAGAUGAGAUUUCCCAACUUCGGUUAUAAGAUCCCUCAAAGAUGAUGAGGUUAAUAGGUUCGAGGUGGAAGCAUGGUGACAUGUGGAGCUGACGAAUACUAAUCGAUCGAAGACUUAAUCAA
rnacentral:rRNA from 1 species